GGGAAGCGCGCUUGGUGUUUUCGAACAGCUCCACGAGCAGUUGUGCUUCUGCAAUCAAGGCAGCAGACAGAACGGAGACAGGAAAAGGUGAUGCCUGAGCUGAAGUGAACAACUCAGGGCUGCACUUCUGCAUGUUCCCCUUCCUUCUCCUCUUCCGUGGGCCUGUUCCUCGGUGGAAAGAUUCCUGGCAUGAAAGAUAAAAGCAUGACAGCUCUGAGUCCCAGAUUCACUUCCAAUCCUUCCUAAUGACCACAGGUUGAACCAUGGAACUGAUUUGUGCCUCAGUUCACCCCUCAGUGACCCCCAGAAUCCCCAGCUCAGAGGGCUUC